UACGAAGGGGACUAGCGUUGUUCGGAAUCACUGGGCGUAAAGCGCACGUAGGCGGAUAUGUCAGUCAGGGGUGAAAUCCCGGGGCUCAACCUCGGAACUGCCCCUUGAUACAGCAUGUCUUGAGUCCGAUAGAGGUGGGUGGAAUUCCUAGUGUAGAGGUGAAAUUCGUAGAUAUUAGGAAGAACACCGGUGGCGAAGGCGGCCCACUGGAUCGGUACUGACGCUGAGGUGCGAAAGCGUGGGGAGCAAACAGG
rnacentral:rRNA from 1 species